rnacentral:rRNA from 1 species
AGUGAACGCUGGCGGUAGGCCUAACACAUGCAAGUCGAACGGCAGCACAGGAGAGCUUGCUCUCUGGGUGGCGAGUGGCGGACGGGUGAGGAAUACAUCGGAAUCUGCCCAGUCGUGGGGGAUAACGUAGGGAAACUUACGCUAAUACCGCAUACGACCUUCGGGUGAAAGAGGGGGAUCGCAAGACCUCUCGCGAUUGGAUGAGCCGAUGUCGGAUUAGCUAGUUGGCGGGGUAAUGGCCCACCAAGGCGACGAUCCGUAGCUGGUCUGAGAGGAUGAUCAGCCACACUGGAACUGAGACACGGUCCAGACUCCUACGGGAGGCGGCAGUGGGGAAUAUUGGACAAUGGGCGCAAGCCUGAUCCAGCCAUACCGCGUGGGUGAAGAAGGCCUUCGGGUUGUAAAGCCCUUUUGUUGGGAAAGAAAUCUUUCAGGCUAAUACCCUGGGAGGAUGACGGUACCCAAAGAAUAAGCACCGGCUAACUUCGUG